CCAGGUUUGAAUCCGGACAGGAUUCACAUGGUCUCCUGACUCCAAAGACAGUGCUCUUGGGAUUGUCUGGGGCUCCUCAUCUGUCCACACCCAGGAACUGCUUACCAUGCCAAUCAGGAAGAGGGAAGCCAGGGAGGAGUUGGGGAGGAUGGCAAAGGCCUGGAUAUCCACGGCAGGGUAGAAGGUGAUAAACAACACAGCCUGCAUCACGAAUCCAGGAGAAAAGGAUGAUCUUCCCAGGAAAUGGUGCCAGAAUAACUCGCUAUUCAUAUGGAAGAAAAUGAAAAUGAUUCCGUAUGUCAUCCCACACAUUAAAAAUCCAUUCCAGAUGGAUUAAGGAUUUCAAUAUAAAUGGGAUGCCCAGAAGAAGCCUUACAUCUGGAUAUCAGCCACAGACACGGAGAUACUCAAAGCAGUAUUGUGCACCUGUAGAGAAAUCAGAUAGCCAUUAACAAUCGAACAUAGAAACAUUGGCUGGGCGCGGUGGCUCAUGCCUGUAAUUCCAGCACUUUGGGAAGCCGAGGCCAGGCGGAUCACUUGAAGUCAGGAGUUCAAGACCAGCCUGGCCAACGUGGUGAAACCCUGUCUCUACUAAAAAUACAAAAAUUAGCUGGGUUUGGUGGCUCACAUCUGUAAUCCCAGCUAGUCAGGAGGCUGAGGCAGGAGAAUCGCAUGAACCCAGGAGGCAGAGGUUGCAGUAAGCUGAGAUUGCGCCACUGCACUCCAGCCUGGGCGACAGAGCAAGACUGUGUCUCAAAAAAGAAAAUAGAAACGUUGUAACAUGAGGACGAUCAUAUACUAUACAGCAGUC
rnacentral:antisense_RNA from 1 species